GGUGAGGUGGCCGAGCGGUCUAUGGCGCAAGUUUCAGGUAACUGGAACAUGAGCUUCUAUGGUUUAAAAGCUAGAAUACUUGUGGAGAAAUCCUCGUGGGUUCGAAUCCCACCCUCAUCA
rnacentral:tRNA from 1 species